rnacentral:rRNA from 1 species
GGUAGCCGGCCUGAGAGGGCGACCGGCCACACUGGGACUGAGACACGGCCCAGACUCCUACGGGAGGCAGCAGUGGGGAAUAUUGGGCAAUGGAGGAAACUCUGACCCAGCGACGCCGCGUGMGGGAUGAAGGCCUUCGGGUUGUAAACCNCUUUCAGYAGGGAAGAAGCGAAAGUGACGGUACCUNCAGAAGAAGCACCGGCUAACUAUGUGCCAGCAGCCGCGGUAAUACAUAGGGUGCAAGCGUUGUCCGGAAUUAUUGGGCGUAAAGAGCUCGUAGGUGGUUNGAUACGUCGGAUGUGAAANUCAGGGGCUCAACCCCUGACCUGCAUUCGAUACGGUCNAGCUAGAGUKUGGUAGGGGA